rnacentral:siRNA from 1 species
CAUGUACCACCAAGAUGGCUACA